rnacentral:tRNA from 1 species
GGCUUUUUGCCUCUUCCUUGA